AUUGUUUUGUUACAUACUUUUAAAAAUAAAUUUGUAUGGUGUGAAAAUCUUAUCAAACAUGUUGAAAUGGAGGUGAAAAAGGGGCUUGCUCCGUUCACUCCACGCAUCGACCCGGUACUGCAGUGCCGCCGGGAACGGUGCACCCUCC
rnacentral:snRNA from 1 species